AACACGUGGGCAACCUGCCUGUAAGUUGGGGAUAACUCCGGGAAACCGGGGCUAAUACCGAAUGAUAAGGUGUGGCGCAUGCCACGCUUUUGAAAGAUGGUUUCGGCUAUCGCUUACAGAUGGGCCCGCGGUGCAUUAGCUAGUUGGUAGGGUAAUGGCCUACCAAGGCAGCGAUGCAUAGCCGACCUGAGAGGGUGAUCGGCCACACUGGGACUGAGACACGGCCCAGACUCCUACGGGAGGCAGCAGUAGGGAAUCUUCCGCAACGGACGAAAGUCUGACGGAGCAACGCCGCGUGUAUGAAGAAGGUUUUCGGAUCGUAAAGUACUGUUGUUAGAGAAGAACAAGGAUAAGAGUAACUGCCUGUCCCUUGACGGUAUCUAACCAGAAAGCCACGGCUAACUACGUGCCAGCAGCCGCGGUAAUACGUAGGUGGCAAGCGUUGUCCGGAUUUAUUGGGCGUAAAGCGCGCGCAGGCGGUCUUUUAAGUCUGGUGUGAAAGCCCCCGGCUUAACCGGGGAGGGUCAUUGGAAACUGGAAGACCGGAGUGCAGAAGAGGAGAGUGGAAUUCCACGUGUAGCGGUGAAAUGCGUAGAUAUGUGGAGGAACACCAGUG
rnacentral:rRNA from 1 species